rnacentral:rRNA from 1 species
UACGUAGGGUGCGAGCGUUGUCCGGAAUCAUUGGGCGUAAAGAGCGUGUAGGCGGCCCGGUAAGUCCGCUGUGAAAGUCCAGGGCUCAACCCUGGGAUGCCGGUGGAUACUGUCGGGCUCGAGUCCGGAAGAGGAGACUGGAAUUCCUGGUGUAGCGGUGAAAUGCGCAGAUAUCAGGAGGAACACCAAUGGCGAAGGCAGCACUCUGGGACGUGACUGACGCUGAGACGCGAAAGCGUGGGGAGCAAACAGG